rnacentral:rRNA from 1 species
UACGAAGGGGGCUAGCGUUGCUCGGAAUCACUGGGCGUAAAGCGCACGUAGGCGGAUUGCUAAGUCAGGGGUGAAAUCCUGGAGCUCAACUCCAGAACUGCCUUCGAUACUGGAAAUCUCGAGUCCGGGAGAGGUGAGUGGAACUCCGAGUGUAGAGGUGAAAUUCGUAGAUAUUCGGAAGAACACCAGUGGCGAAGGCGGCUCACUGGCCCGGUACUGACGCUGAGGUGCGAAAGCGUGGGGAGCAAACAGG